GAUGAACGCUAGCGGCAGGCUUAAUACAUGCAAGUCGAGGGACAGCACAGGUAGCAAUACUGGGUGGUAACCGGCAAACGGGUGCGGAACACGUACACAACCUUCCUUUAAGUGGGGGAUAGCCCAGAGAAAUUUGGAUUAAUACCCCGUAAUAUAGUUGAAUGGCAUCAUUUGAUUAUUAUAGCUACGGCGCUUAAUGAUGGGUGUGCGGCUGAUUAGAUAGUUGGCGGGGUAACGGCCCACCAAGUCUACGAUCAGUAGCUGAUGUGAGAGCAUGAUCAGCCACACGGGCACUGAGACACGGGCCCGACUCCUACGGGAGGCAGCAGUAAGGAAUAUUGGUCAAUAGACGCAAGUCUGAACCAGCCAUGCCGCGUGGAGGAUUAAGGUCCUCUGGAUUGUAAACUUCUUUUAUUUGGGACGAAAAAGGGCCUUUCUAGGUCAACUGACGGUACCAGAUGAAUAAGCACCGGCUAACUCCGUGCCAGCCGCCGCGGUAAGAC
rnacentral:rRNA from 1 species